CCCUUAGAUGUCCUGGGCCGCACGCGUGCUACACUGAUGCAUACAGCGAGGACUUUCCAGCUCCGCGAGGCAGCUGGUAAUCAGCAAUAUGCAUCGUGCUGGGGAUAGAUCUUUGGAAUUAUAGAUCUUGAACGAGGAAUUCCUAGUAAGCGCAAGUCAUUAGCUUGCGCUGAUUAAGUCCCUGCCCUUUGUACACACCGCCCGUCGCUCCUACCGAUUUCGAGUGAUUCGGUGAACCUUUUGGACAGCGUCUGUCCUCGUGUCAGAUGCUGAAAGUCAAGUAAACCAUAUCACUUAGAGGAAGGAGAAGUCGUAACA
rnacentral:rRNA from 1 species